CAGUCGCCGCGGUAAUACGGAGGGUGCAAGCGUUAUCCGGAUUUAUUGGGUUUAAAGGGUCCGUAGGCGGAUCUGUAAGUCAGUGGUGAAAUCUCACAGCUUAACUGUGAAACUGCCAUUGAUACUGCAGGUCUUGAGUAAAUUUGAAGUGGCUGGAAUAAGUAGUGUAGCGGUGAAAUGCAUAGAUAUUACUUAGAACACCAAUUGCGAAGGCAGGUCACUAAGAUUUAACUGACGCUGAUGGACGAAAGCGUGGGAAGCGAACAGGAUUAGAUACCCCUGUAGUCCCUGUCUCUUAUAC
rnacentral:rRNA from 1 species